rnacentral:rRNA from 1 species
AAUAGAUACCCCGGUAGUCCACGCCGUAAACGAUGGAUGCUAGCUGUUAUGCGUAUCGACCCGUGUAGUAGCGAAGCUAACGCGUUAAGCAUCCCGCCUGGGGAGUACGAACGCAAGUUUAAAACUCAAAGGAAUUGACGGGGACCCGCACAAGCGGUGGAGCGUGUUCUUUAAUUCGAGGCUAAGCGAAGAACCUUACCAGGGCUUGACAUCCUUGGAAUUUCUCCGAAAGGAGAGAGUACUUUAUUGGACCAAGUGACAGGUGCUGCAUGGCCGUCGUCAGCUCGUGUCGUGAGAUGUUUGGUUAAGUCCAUUAACGAGCGCAACCCUUAUGAAUAGUUGUAUUUUUCUAUUCAGACUGCCCGGUAACGGGGAGGAAGGGGGGAGUGAUGUCAGGUCAGUAUUGCCCUUACGCCCUGGGCUAGAAACGCGCUACAAUGGCCGGUACAAUGCGCUGCCAACCCGCGAGGGGAGCAAUCGCAUCAAAGCCGGUCCCAGUUCGGAUAAGAGGCUGAAACUCGCCUCUUUGAAGCCGGAAUCGCUAGUAAUCGU